UGUUAGGUAUUUUAGUACCACGGUUAGCAUUUACAGAAGAUUGUUUUAUACAGAAAAGAGUUGCUCAAUAAGGCCGAUCUACUAGUUGUUUUUCUCUUUCUCUGUGACCCAAGAAUUAAUGUGAGACUCACAAGCUGGUACCUCAAGGUCGAAAACACCACAGAGAUGAGACCACUUCUUUACUCCCAUCCUCCCUUUUCCUUAUCUCCUGGAAAAGGCUCGUUAAAGGCUAGGUGGUUCGUUUCAGAAUUCACUAAUGAAAGAACUCUGUAUUUUAUGUCUAGGAGUGUAUUUUGCUGGGAUGAUCAUAAAUUGUAGCUGAGCUGAUAAACUACACACAGGAUACUUCUUUGUUCACAAGGCAGGAAGACGUUUCCUUAUUUGGUCUGUACCGGUUUGAACUGGGAAAGCUGACACACGAACCUUUUUUCAUCUAUAUAAACUGCUGUGUAUCAAAUAAACCUUUGAGUUGAUUUGGGAAGGCAACCUGAAGCAGUCUGUGUUUCCUUGUUCUCCCAAGCUGCUCCCGGCGCUGUAACUAACCCAGCUGAACGGCAUACCUGAGUGUUACUUUAAAUAAUUAGGAAUCUUAGAAGGAAAGGACAAAACUCUGCUUAUCGCUCACGCCACGGAGGAAACCCGGGAUGGCAAUUUCCUUCAAUUUUGGUGUCAGAAGUGGGAUCCCUGACAGAAGGUAAAUAUGCGUCUUUCAUAUUUAUAUAGAGACCAUAUUAUACCUCUCUCAGUGAUUGAUCCAUAAAAAAACGGGAUAUGCUGACGAAGUUUCACUUAGUGAUCCAGAGAGAUACACUGACUGACUUCCUCAGUCCCCGAAUCCAUAAAAAAACGGGAUAUGCUGACGAAGUUUCACUUAGUGAUCCAGAGAGAUACACUGACUGACUUCCUCAGUCCCCGAAUAAAGUAAAUUAACCCUUGUGUGGUGUUGGUGGACACAGGAAGUUGCCUGUUGUCUUGAAUAUUUUAAUUUUGUUUAAAAAAUAAUAAUAAUAAUAAUAAUUAACGUACGUUAAAAAGUGAGAAGUUGCUCACUCAGAAAAAGUGACACAGAAAGUUGCCUGUUGUCUUAAAUACUUCUCGUUAAGUGAGAAGUUGCUCAUCAAAGAGUGACACAGGGAGUUGCCUGUUAUCUUGAAACGUACGUUAAAAAGUGAGAAGUUGCUCACUCACAGAAAGCUAGUAAAUAAUUAAAUUUAAUUUUGUUAAAAAAAAAAAAAAACGAAAGAAAACUGAAAACGGGUCUCACAGACCCGAUUACCAUACAAGGGUUAAAAGCAGUAAAUUAAAAGCAGAAAGACACAGGAAGUUGCCUGUUGUUUUACGAGAAGUUGCUCGUUAAGCGAGAAGUUGCUCGCUAAGUGAGAGUUGCUCACACAAACAAAAAAAAUUGCUAGCAAUAAAUUUAAAGUAACCUCAGCUGUGCCGCAGCGAAAAUACUAACCUAAAUCCUCCUAGCGUGUAAACCCCUCUGGAAAUCACUGAACAUGGGUCAGAAUAAUUCAAAGACCACAGACAGGUCCGAUAAAAAAUCUAAAGUACCUAUAAAACCAAAAAUUAAUAAAAUACAAAAUAAAGUCUCAAAUAACGGCUCAGUAUAACUCCCAUUUCCGGUUACGUGUAACCUACGUCCGCGAAUCGGUGAAGACGUCCAUGAUCACGUAUCCAGAACAUGCGGGAGUGCUUAUGUGACUGACUUUGUUUACAACUUAAGAAGUUCAAUGCAUUCUAAUUUCUUUCCGGAGCCUUAUCCCGAACGAUUAUCGCCAGAAAACAGGAACAUCCUCUGUGUCAGCUGGACCCUCAGCAGAGAAUGAACUCAACAUCCUUUUUGUCCGGUACUCUAUGUCACACACUGUGCCAAAAAAAAAACGUGUACAGACGCCACUAACAGGUAAUCCCAUGACUGGGAGCCACACUUUUGUUUCUCUCACACUGUUCAACAACAUGAUAACUGCUCACACAAGUGAAGGUCAAACAGUGAUUUUGUUACAUAACUCAGACAUAGGUUACGAAAUAUGUCGUCACAUAGAUCUAACCUACCCUAUCCACUGUACUAUUUCUGCAGUUACAUUGCCAGCUGCAUACCAGAAUAUGACAUUAUGGUCUAAAAGUGAGAAUGAUAUAGGAUUUAUUGACUGCAUACCUUAUCACGCACAGCUAAAAAAAAAAAAACAAAAAGCGAGUAUAUGUCAGGCAAUGUCCCAUUUCCACGGAAAAAGCCGCAGCUCUAGAUGUCAUCAUAGGAGAUUUAUUGACUACAGGAGCAAUAAAGCCCACACUCCUGUCAAUCCUGUGCCAAAGCCUAACAAACCUGGCGUAUGGCGUUUCAUACAAGACUUAAGGCAAAUUAAUGCAGUCAACAUUCCUCUGCCACCUCUCGUUUCAGAUGUUCACAACAUAUUGACAUGCAUUGCAUACACAUUUUACCGUGGUGGAUUUAUGCUCCGCUCCUUUUUCUCAGUACCUGUGACACACAGCCGUUAUUUGCAUUCACACAUAGAAAUAAGCAGUACACUUGCACUCGUCUGCCUCAAGGCAUGAUAGACAGCUCUGCUGCUUUCUCAAUGGUGCUUCACUCCUCCUGAGGGCUGUACUCUGAUCCACAUGUGGAUGACCUCCUCCUCUGUGCUGAAAGUGAAAAACUAUGUCAAACUGCUACACACAUGCUUCUCCAGCACCUCCAAAAGACUGGCCACAAAGCAUCUGCAAAGAAAAUGCAGUACUGUCAGACUUGUGUUCAAUAUUUGGGAUUCACACUGUCUCACGGAAAACGUUCCAUGACUGCAGACAGGGUCAAAGCUGUGACCUCCGUCCCUCGUCCCACUACACAGAAGGAAAUGUUGUCCUUCCUGAGCAUGGUGAACUAUUGCAGACAGUGGAUACCAGACUGUUCUUUUCAUGACCACAUUCUGCGUGACUGUUGUAAAAAAAAAAAAAAGACAAGCCUCCUCGAAUACUGUGGUCCACAGAAAUGACUGCCUCUUUCAAUGCAUUAAAGGGAGUGCCGACCUCCGCCACUCAAAGGUGCUGUCCGUGGUUGUUCAGGAAUGCCGGCCUGCCUGAGGGCAGUAGCAGCUUGCUCUAUCAUGAUAAGGGACUGCGAGAAGCUCACACUCUCACAUGACACUAUUCUACACACCAAUCACCAGGUCACGACCAUUGUAGCAAACAUAACUAAACAACAUAUGCAAAUCUCACUAUAAAAGCGAGCAGCACACCUGAUUCGCCAGCACAUUUAUUGAUCCUAUGCUGUGUUCUUCUGACCGACAGGAUGGCUCAGACAGGCUUGACGAUCAUGACUGCAUGACACGUAUACAGGAAUCCACAGCACCACGUCCAGAUUUAGAGCAAACACCUAUCCCAGACUCAGCCACGGUUUAUGUGGACGGGUCCUGUUCAAGGCCGAGUGACAACUCAUUUCUUUGUGGCUAUUCAGUGGUAACAGUGCCUGACAUCAUACUAGAGGCUCACUCAUUACCAUUUCACUCAGCACAAAAAGCAGAGCUCAUGGCUUUAAUACGCGCCUGUGAGCUACAUUUGGAUAAGCAUGUGACGAUUUACACAGACAGCCGCUAUGCAUUUGGCGUUGUGCAUGACUUUGGCACAUUGUGGAGACAGAGAGGAUUUAGAUCUGCUGAUGGAAAAUAAAUUGCUAAAUUGUGAUUUUGUUCAAAGACUUUUUCAGGCUAUACAGCUGCCAUCGGCCGUUGCAGUUGUAAAAACGACAGGACACAGUACAGCUGACACAGACGAAGCAACAGGUAAUGCCUUAGCAGACGUGACAGCCAAGGCUGCAGCUGCAUCACAGCUCCCACCUCCGCAGGAAGUAUUAUCUGUGCCCCUACAGCUGCCACUUGUUACACUCCCAGACUAUUUAGAAACAAAUGUUGAUUUAAAAUUCAUACAAGAGCAAGCCUCUGCAUGUGAUUACACCUAUUGGGAGAAUAAUGACUGCACCUUAGAUGACAGAGAUGGCCUAUACUAAAUCUUAAGGGUUUGAUUGCCCUCCCAUAUUCCCUGAUGCCAGUCCUUGCCCGACAUUUUCACUGUGUGAGUCAUGUCGGACAAAGAGGGGUAAUAGGGGCAAUAAAAUCAAGAUUUGUAAUUGAGAAAACAUUGCAUGCAGUAAAAAGCAUAUUAGCAACCUGUCUAACAUGUGCGCGAACUAAUGUAGGUAGCUCAAAAGCAAAACAUCAGCAUUUACCACAACCAGAUUUUCCAUUUCAUACAUUACAAAUUGAUUUUACACAUAUGCCAGCACAAGGAAGUAUCAAGUACUUACUGGUAAUAGUGGAUCAAUUUAGUAAAUGAGUAGAAGCUUAUCCAACCUCAAAAGAAACUGCAGAAGUAGUCUGUCAAAAGUUGAGCAAUGAAAUAAUACCCAGAUUCGGAAUACCUCACCAGAUUAACAGUGAUAGAGGAUCUUCAUUCACAUUAGAAGUAAUUCAAAAGUGUGCUAAAACUUUAAUGACCUGUGUCAAAUUACUUACUCAAGUCCUGUGUGAGAUUAGAAUGACUCAAUCUGAAGUAACCAAAUUAUUUCCAUUUGAAAUAAGACUAUUUCCAAGACCAUGGUCAGCUUCCAGAGGGGCACCGCUAGUAGAAGGUGAUGUAUAUUGCAUUGUCCACUGAUGUUCACAACCUGAUAGAAAAACUGAAUAAUAACUAUCAGAAAGUUUGUCUCUCUCAGCUUUUCCCCUCCACAGUUCCACCAGUGGAGACAAGGAGAUGCAUGUUGGAGAAGCCACUAAAACCAAGGACUCUCUGGGAGGCCGCGCGUGUUCCAGCCCCCAGACUGUACUGGCAGUGACGAAGAACCAGCAUCCUCACAGACGGACAACCUCAGUGGAUUCAUGCCAGCAGGGUUAAGACCAGCCCAAUCGGACCAUCUCAGGCGUCGGAUCAAGCAGACGACAUCUCCGGCGAGCCAGCGCCCGGAACUAGAGCAAAUAAACACACACGGGUAGAUGACAUCUCCGGCGAGCCAGCGCCAGGAUCCAAUGUACACACACACAAUCACUGAUUAACACACAACGUCUGAAAGAGCAACAACAAGGUACUCAAACAUCCAGCAGGAACAGAAAGCCAAAAGUACCACAUGAUGUCUAACCUGAUAAAGCCAGACUCAUUUCAUCCUGAUAAUGGAGAAAAUGAAAUGCCCAUUGUCAUCAUACGACGCUUAUUCUAUGUCUCUCGAACCUGGGACCAGGCCAGAAGACGACUGAAGAACUGUCUUUUUUAUAUAUUUAGGUUAUUAAUCAUAUCUACUGCAUUAACCUUAGGAUUUUUAUUUACUAUUUCAUAUUGUAAAGUGCAACCCUGUUCACAUUUCUGCAAGCCACAUUUUCAAUGAUAACCCAUAUAGCUACCAGUACAGCCACUUCAAUGUAUUUGCAAUUAGCACAAAUUGAUCCUGAGGAUGUGCCAGAUGUUACCAAUGAUGUUCCUGAUGUGUAUAUUGAACAUUAGGUUGUGAACUAUUACAUUUUAUGAUUUGCUUUUUAUAUUAUGUUAUUACAUUUGUGAUUUUUCCUUUCUAUUUGAGUUAUUAUUUUUAAAAAAUAAUAAAAGAGGGGAACUGUUAGGUAUUUUAGUACCACGGUUAGCAUUUACAGAAGAUUGUUUUAUACAGAAAAGAGUUGCUCAAUAAGGCCCAUCUACUAGUUGUUUUUCUCUUUCUCUGUGACCCAAGAAUUAAUGUGAGACUCACAAGCUGGUACCUCAAGGUCGAAAACACCACAGAGAUGAGACCACUUCUUUACUCCCAUCCUCCCUUUUCCUUAUCUCCUGGAAAAGGCUCGUUAAAGGCUAGGUGGUUCGUUUCAGAAUUCACUAAUGAAAGAACUCUGUAUUUUAUGUCUAGGAGUGUAUUUUGCUGGGAUGAUCAUAAAUUGUAGCUGAGCUGAUAAACUACACACAGGAUACUUCUUUGUUCACAAGGCAGGAAGACGUUUCCUUAUUUGGUCUGUACCGGUUUGAACUGGGAAAGCUGACACACGAACCUUUUUUCAUCUAUAUAAACUGCUGUGUAUCAAAUAAACCUUUGAGUUGAUUUGGG
ensembl:lncRNA